ACGGCUCAGUAACACGUGGAUAACCUGCCCUUGGGUCCGGCAUAACCCCGGGAAACUGGGGAUAAUACCGGAUAACGCACAUAUGCUGGAAUGCUUUAUGCGUAAAAUGGAUUCGUCUGCCCAAGGAUGGGUCUGCGGCCUAUCAGGUAGUAGUGGGUGUAAUGUACCUACUAGCCAACAACGGGUACGGGUUGUGAGAGCAAGAGCCCGGAGAUGGAUUCUGAGACAUGAAUCCAGGCCCUACGGGGCGCAGCAGGCGCGAAAACUUUACAAUGCGGGAAACCGUGAUAAGGGGACACCGAGUGCCAGCAUCAUAUGCUGGCUGUCCGGGUGUGUAAAAUACACCUGUCAGCAAGGGCCGGGCAAGACCGGUGCCAGCCGCCGCGGUAACACCGGCGGCCCGAGUGGUGAUCGUGAUUAUUGGGUCUAAAGGGUCCGUAGCCGGUUUGGUCAGUCCUCCGGGAAAUCUGACGGCUCAACCGUUAGGCUUUCGGGGGAUACUGCCAGGCUUGGAACCGGGAGAGGUAAGAGGUACUACAGGGGUAGGAGUGAAAUCUUGUAAUCCUUGAAGGACCACCAGUGGCGAAGGCGUCUCACCAGAACGGACCUGACGGCAAGGGACGAAAGCUAGGGGCACGAACCGGAUUAGAUACCCGGGUAGUCCUAGCCGUAAACGAUACUCGCUAGGUGUCAGCCACGGUGCGACCGUGGUUGGUGCCGUAGGGAAGCCGUGAAGCGAGCCACCUGGGAAGUACGGCCGCAAGGCUGAAACUUAAAGGAAUUGGCGGGGGAG
rnacentral:rRNA from 1 species